GACGAACGCUGGCGGCGUGCUUAAUACAUGCAAGUCGAACGGACAGGCCCUGCUUUUGUGCGGUUCUCGAGUGGCGCACGCGUGAGUAUCACGUGAGUAUCCUCUCCUUGUCUUUGGGAUAACUUCACGCAACUGCGGCUCUUAUCGCGUAGGAGCUCUUGCUGCAUGGUGUUGGUUGGUAAGUUUCGGCGGUUGGGGAUGGACUCGCGGCUUCCGAGCCUGUUUGUGUGGUAGUGGCUUACCAAGGCUUCGACGGCUAGGCGACCUGAGCGGGGUGCCGGCGACAUUGGUACUGAGAGACGGCGCAGACGCCAACGGGAGGCAGCGGGGGAGAAUAUGACACAGUGAGCGGAAGCCAGAUGCAGCAACGCCGCGUGCGGGAUGACGGCCUUCGGGUUGUAAACCGCUUUGGCCGGUGACGAAGCGGGAGUGACGGUAAUGGGUAAAGAAGCAACGGCUAACUACGUG
rnacentral:rRNA from 1 species